rnacentral:rRNA from 1 species
UCCUGGCUCAGAGUGAACGCUGGCGGCAGGCCUAACACAUGCAAGUCGAACGGCAGCACAGGGGAGCUUGCUCCCUGGGUGGCGAGUGGCGGACGGGUGAGGAAUACAUCGGAAUCUGCCCUGUCGUGGGGGGAUAACGUAGGGAAACUUACGCUAAUACCGCAUACGACCUGAGGGUGAAAGCGGGGGGAUCGCAAGACCUCGCGCUACUGGAGCGGCCGAUAUCAGAUUAGCUAGUUGGUGGGGUAAAGGCCUACCAAGGCAACGAUCUGUAGUUGGUCUGAGAGGACGACCAGCCACACUGGGACUGAGACACGGCCCAGACUCCUACGGGAGGCAGCAGUGGGGAAUUUUGGACAAUGGGCGCAAGCCUGAUCCAGCAAUGCCGCGUGCAGGAAGAAGGCCUUCGGGUUGUAAACUGCUUUUGUCAGGGAAGAAAUCCUCUGGGUUAAUACCUCGGGGGGAUGACGGUACCUGAAGAAUAAGCACCGGCUAACUACGUG